ensembl:lncRNA
AUGUGCAUAUUUCUGUCUACUAUUUCACUGGAGAAAGCAAUAGGACUCAUAUUUUGGUGUUACCUGACUAAAUGGAGCCAUGUUGUUUACUUGUGGAUUAUUGUGAUGUUUUCAUCAGCUGUUUGGAUUCUCAUUCUGACGGCACCCAUUCACUGCAGAGGAUCCAUUGAUCACCGUUGCCACCAGAUCCAGUCUGUAUCCAGAUCAGGUGGUCACUGCAGUCACCCGGAUCCAGUACGUAUCCAGCCCAGAUGGUGGAUCAGCACCUAGAAAGGACCUCUACAGCCCUGAAAGACAGCGGAGACCAGGACAACUAGAUGAGCCCCAGAGACAGAUCCCCUGUAAAGACCUUGUCUCAGACGACCAUCAGGACAAGACCACAGGAAUCAGUUGAGUCCACUGCACAAUUUGACUUUGCUGCAGCCUGGAAUUAAACUGCUGAUUAGUCUGGCCAGAGGAGAACUGGUCCCCCAACUGAGCCUGGUUUCUCCCAAUGUUUUUCCCCAUUCUUUCACCGAUGGAGUUUUGGUUCCUUGCCGCUGUCACCUCUGGCUUGCUUAGUUGGGGACACUUCAUUUACAGCAAUAUCGUUGACUUGAUUGUAAAUGAUUGCAAAGAUACUAUUUAGAUUGAACUGAGCUGGAUGAAGAAAUUACUGAAUUCAAUGAUGAACUGGCUUUAACUGUCAUUUUGCAUUAUUGACACACUGUUUUCCUAAUUAAUGUUGUUCAGUUGCUUUGACACAAUCUGUUUUGUUUAAAGCGUUAUAUAAAUAAAGGUGACUUGACUUGACUUGACCUACUGUAUAAACAAUCAUUUCAGAGAAAUUUGUUGUUGUAACUACAUGGAACAAGGGGGGAACAAAGCACCACUUUAAUUUACAGCCCGCAAAUGUUGUAUUUACCCUGUAACUUCAUGGAACAGGGGGGGAACAAGCAGCACUAAUUUACAGCCCACAAAUGUUGUAUUUACCCUGUAACUACAUGGAACAAGGGGGAACAAAGCACCACUUUAAUUGACAGCCCGCAAAAGUUGCUUUUACCCUGUAACUACAUGGAACAAGGGGGGAACAAGCAGCACCACUAAUUUACAGCCCGCAUAUGUUGAAUUUAACCUGUAACUACAUGGGACAAGGGAGGAACAAAUUGGACUUAAACACAGAACAAAUGUAUAUUUGCAUAGUAAUUACAAAGAAAAAUAUUGCACUAGUUUUAAUGUAAUUGUUCGAUGGCCAGAUUUUUUAUUUAUUUAUUUUUUGCUAUAAAAACACCAGAGUAUACAUCCACUGAAAUACAAAUGUUGUAUCAUGUAUUUUUUCUGCGAACAGCUGGAAAGAGGUAAGCUUUUUUUAAGCUGCAUUGAACCUUGAUGGUAUAUCAUGCAAAGUUAUUUAGUGAUAGUGGUGUUGAGAAGUUGCUGGUGUGAAGUUGCUGAGAUUGACGAAUAAGCUUUCAUACGGUAAGAAUCUCAUUAACUCAUUUCAUUAGAUGUCCAGUUUUGUUGUUCAGUAAUCUCCAUCAUGUAUCCUUUAAUAAUAGAAUAUGUGCCCCAUGGUUAAAAAUACCUAUAGGCCUAUAAUAAAAUACCAAUAUAAAAUUAUAAAAAGUAUAUCGUCUUUCUAAAUCAUUCCCAAACAUAAGAUUGUUGUUUAGGCCAUACAUACCACGUAAUAUUAGAAUAGGUACCUCUUAGUUUCAAGAUAGGCUACUUACAGUAUAAAUGAUUUGUAAUUUUACAGGUUGUUACCCCUUUAUUCCACAAACAUAGCAGAUUAUUCCCCUCUCUACACAGAGGUACUGAAUAUGUACACUAUAGUUACAAAAAAAAGUUAAGCUGUAACUUCAGUUUACUUAUGCAGUUCUUUGCGGGAUGCAUAUCUGGUUGUUACCCCCUUAUUACCAAAACGUAACACAUUGUUCCCUUAUACCUACUCGUAGGCGUACACUAUAAUUACAGAAAUGUACACUGUAAAUUCAGUAUACUUACGUAGUUCUUUGCGGGUUGUAAUCUAAAGUGUUACCAAAUGUGACCCACUCUAUAUUAAGUGUCCUUAAAUACUGUGUACUUACAUUUAAAUUAAUCAUUUGAUACAAUGCACUAAUUGUGUACAUAUGUUUGUGAGUAUGUGUUUAAAAUAAAAUUAACUUUGUGGUUCAUUGGAAAAAGAUGCUAAUAUUGCCAUGGUUUCAGUUCAGUUUGGACUUUGUUUUCUGUUUGCACUGUUGAGUUGGUAGAUAUGGUUUCUGAUUAGUUGUCAUUCAGUUCAGGUGUGUGUUGUUAAUUAUCCUAGUUUGCUUGUUUACUUAUGUGUGGAUUAUUUACCUGUGGAUAUAUUAAAGGCUGUCUUCAUCUUUGUGUGUGUGUUAUAUGCAACACCGUUCUGUUACAAAUACAGGUAUUGUAAUUGUUUUUAUUCUUGGAGUGAACCAGCCUUUAACCUUUUAACACCACUUACCAGUGGCCUGUAGCACGAAGCCGGUUCCAGUUCUUACCCAGGUAAGUUUACAUUUAGUUUAAGCAAACCAAUGACCUGUGAGUGAAGUAAUGUAAAUCUGACGCAUCACAGUUAACCCUUUACUGUUUGUAUGGAUGGCCUUACCAUUUUUGGAGAACCCCGUGGAGAUCGGUUGCGCAGAUUUUAAGAAGGGCACUUUGACGGGAGAUGGUAUAGUUUAUCAACAGUAUGCCGGCUUAUUGAGCCACACAUUAACAAUAUGACACAACGAAGCUGUGUACCAAAAAUUGUAUGCAUUGCUUUUCGUUUUUUUGCAAUCACAUACGAGCAAGCACACCGCUGACCGAGCGAUCAAAAAAGUGGUUUCUGCAUUGCAUGAUGUGUUCAUUGUUUUUCCUGGCCACGUAGACACGCUGUGUAUUUAAGAGGGCUUUUACAAAAAUAGCUGGUGAGAUUAUUUCCAAUGCAGUAUACCUUUUAAGUUCAACAAUUUUUAAAAGGAUUCCCAAGGGUUAUCUGUGCCCUUGCAUACAUAUUGCAAUUUCUGCAGCCCUAGCUGAGCAUGAGGCUGAUUUUGUGAAUAGGAAGUCUACUCACUCCCUGUUCAGGUACAGUCUGUUGAAUGCACAUUUUAUUUGCAUUUUACAAUAUAUGUGUAGUCAAAUCUGAUAUCAUUUUUAGUAUGGUCAACCUGUAGACUGAUAUACCCAUCAAUUGUAGAUGACUUGUGACCAUCAGUACAUGAUUACAAGCUUAGAUGCUAGACAGCCUGGGUCUGUGCAUGACUCCAGAAUUUUCCGGAAGUCUACAUUAAGUCAGCGCUUUGAGGAAGGUAUUUGAAGAACAAAACCCCAGCAAGCUUACAAUAAUGAAAUUAUACUGUUAACUUGUAUAUUUGUUUUAUGUUUAUUAACAGAGCUGUUUGAUGGCCUCUUGGAGACAGGGAUUAUCUUUGUCAGAAAUUUUUGAUGACCCCCUAUCCUAAUCCCGAGACAAGGUCCGAAGAGCAGUUCAAUGCAGCUCACAGCAGAACCAGGGGCAGAACUGAAAACACUUUUGGGAUCCUGAAGGCAAGAUUCAAUUGUCUUCAUGGCCUGAGAGUAACACCAACAACAAGCAUCCCAGAUAGUGGCUGCUUGUGCAAUCCUGCACAAUGUAGCCAAUAUCAGAAAAGAGAGAGUGCCAACAAACCCCCAUCUCCCCCCUGAUGAAACGGACCCCAUGAGAUUGGACCAUCCAGAUGGAAAAGCCAUCAGAGAUGCAAUUAAAGCACAGUAUGUCAGUUAAUUUGUAUUAAAAGCACAGUACACAUAUUUGUGCAUCCCAGAGUUUUAUUGUUUUUCACAGUGCUAGAGAAAAAAGAAAAAUAUAUAUAUAUAUAUAUAAUUAUAUAUUUAUUAGUGUCAUUCCUAUUGAAAUAAU